CCCCGCUUCUCCUUUUGAGCCAUUGUGCUUAACUGAAUUUUAUAAAGCUGAUCGAUAUCUUGGUAAAAUAUUCAUUUUUAAACUAGCGGCCAGCGAAAUCUUUGCUUUGUGCUAAAGUCAACAGCCGCCCGCUUGCGGCUCCCAUAAAUGCGGGGAUGCUCCCGGCUCCCGCAGAGCGGGCGCGGCGGCGCGGGGCGCAGCACGGGGGAUCAGUGUCAAGGACGGAUGGGGCCAACCUCUGAGCUGUGCUGAGCGUGCUGCUGCCGUGUGUGCAUCCCCUAUGAAACCCCAGAUCCCCAUCUCUGAUUGCCUCUUUGUGUCUGUACUUGUGUGCAAUACCUGCGUUACGCUUCAGUAGACUCGGGAGCGGACAGAAGUGCUAUCUCUGCCUCGAGGAUAUUUGAGAAGAUGCUUCUCCGGGAUGGAUCCUUUUAGGAAAAAAUAAAUCGUUAAAACACUCCGGGAAAGCUGAAGAAUGAAUGAAUUUGUGGAGCUUUCUGAGGGAUGCACAUCCGUGCCAUCCUAAGGGUGAACACUCAUCCCACCCUGCAGGACCCCAGCAAUUGCCAUCCAGCACUGAGCCAUGCUACGGCGCUCUGGUCCUCCAGCACAUCCCUCCCUUUGCUGUUGCUCUGCACUACUGCAAAAUUACAGACUGGAGAUGGGGGGCUGAAAGCAGCAGCUCUGCUUCAGGGUGGCAGUGGGACGGGGCAGAAGGUGAGGCUGAUACUGCAAGAGGUUGCCAGGACUUUCUGUUCCCUCCGGGUCCAAUCUGAGGCGUCAUUAGCAAACUAAUAAACUGGCUGCAGAUGUUGAGCCAACAGCAGGCACGUUCCUCAGGAGCAUCCCUGCUAACUCUUGGCUUUGGGAAGCAAUCAGCUCAUCCCUGUGUUUCUCUUUGUGCCCACUCUCUGCCCCACUUCUUCCCUCCUGCCUGGAAUUUUAGGAGAAAAGAAGAAAAAAUAGAAACAGGAAACAAAGCGGGAGCUUCCUCAAAUCAAUUUUUUCAAGUUGAUUUAUUUUCUUUAUAUUGCAGUGGAUGGAGCUCUGUGGCCUUACUGUUUCUCUCGGAAAAUAGAAGUAUUUGUGCCAGUCACAGCAGUGCCAGCACAGAGGUGGCUCUGGCAAUUGGCAAACACCAAUGCCAUACCCAUACCCCGCUGACCCCACCAGAUCCCUCGUGGCCGAAUGGUGUGGGUACGGCAGUAGCGAUGCUGGAGGAGGCAGGCGCUGCCCUGCAUGGGGCCGGAUCUGGGUCCUUGGGGGCAGGAAUACACCAGGGCUGGAGUUUCAUGGGGAAUAGGAAUCCGCCGUGCCCAGGUGGGGCUGCGGCUUCUAAAGUGCCUCUUAAGCUUUCCUGUAUCCUGCUAGCGAGGGAAAAAACUCACAAGGGGAUCCUGCCUGUUCACCUAGCCCUGAAGGGAGAAAAGAGAGGGAUCCCCGAGGCUGGGAGGGCUGCUCUACCCCAAAGCCCAUCUCCAGGCAGGGGGCCGAGGGAGAGGCAUCCUGCUCGCUUCUUUCUGCCUCUAGCUCUGCUUUUUGUGCUGCCCCAGGUAGCGGCCCCAGCGCAUCCCCUGCCGCGGCAGCGCUGUGCUGCACGGAGCAGCACAUUUCCCCCGAGUUACUUAUUAACCACCGUUCGUUUGACAGGAUCGAUAUUUCAAGCUAGGGAGUAAACACUUAAGAAGUAAUGCUCCUCUCUGCUCUCUUUUUCCUCGGCAAAAUGAUUUAUUUUAUAAAAUGCAUCUGCCUGGCAGGGAGGCUGGAGCCCCGUGGCUUUUAUCCGCGGGAUAUGCAAAGCGCAUUUAUUUCGUCUUUUAUCUCUCAUAUUGCGCGUUGAUCCCAUACAUAUAGAUUGAUUUUGUUCAGGUAGAUAAUGAAAAGUCAAGUGGAAAAUUUACACAAAGGCACUCAGGAUCUCCACUUUCUAUUGGUAUAUAAAUUGGUUUAUUACUUCAUUCCCUUAAACAGCGACUUUCACGCUGGGGAACACUUUAAAAUAUAUCAUGUUUAAACACAGAACCAUUUACCUUCCGUGUGGUUUCUCUCUUUCCAUCGGUAAUUUCCUCGCCACUUUUGCUAAUUACCGAAGAUAUUUGUGUUUAAACAAGGGCCCCACCAGCAGCAAUCCGUCUCCCUCCUCCUCCUGCUCCCAGCAUCAAACCACCCCAACCAGAGCUCCCGGCGCUGGGCACGGGGAUGGUGACAAAGCCUGGCAGCGGGCUCUAAUUCCCCGUAAGCAGCUUUGGCUUCGCCACCCCAAGGCAGUGAAUGGAGGGCACUGGACGGGAGAGCGCAGCUCGGAACAAAACCGGCAGGAAACGUUAUUAAUAAACAUCUUCUGGACAUUUGGUGGCUCAUCUAGGCUGCUCCAGCUUAAAGCAAUUAAUUCAGGAUACUGACAUAAACUCUCCAGCUCUUUGACAGCUUGGAGCUGAAAUAAAAAUGCUAGUUCUCCAGGGAAAAGGAGAGGAUAGUUGGCUCUUUUCUGGACUGUUUGCUUAUAGGCCCAGAGAGCAAUCUUCCUUGCAGAAUGAAAUGCAAGGACACAAACAAUGUACCGGAGAGAGAAUAGAAGAUGGGAAUGAACAGUUUGAACUAUUUGCUCAGCAGAAGGGCAGCCACAAUGCUCAACCAAUGGCUUUCCCAUGCAUCAACCGGGCUUCUUAGGCCCUUUUGUUGUUCAUCCUCUUCCUCUGACCAGAUAAGAGCACAGCUGCACGGCCGUCGACUUAGCCACGCAAAUCUGGUGCCGCGCGGAGCCGCGUCCCUGCGGAGCUCGAGGACAAGGUGACACCGGGCAGCGGCACAUCCAGCAACCCCCGCAUUCAGUGCCACCUCCCCACAGCCAGGCUGCUGACCCCUGCCCUCCCCUUGCCCCCUUCCUGCCUCCGUUGCCCAUUGCCCAGGUGGUGCUAUGCUGCUCCGACCCAAACGCCAGCUCCAACCGUGAUGCUACACCGCUUCGUGCCGCCCCAGGCUGGGAUUCGGUGAGCAAGGCUGGAACAAGGUUUGUUUAGCUUGAAAGGGUUUGACGAGGUGAAAAGGCAAAGCGCCGAGGACUAAAGAAAACGCCUGCCUGGCUGAGAUCACACGGAGCACUCGUCGUCAAAGAGCACACCUGCAGGAAGCACCGAGUUUAAACACUGCUGUCACAAAAACCUGAGAAACCUCCGGGUAUUUCAUUGUGGGCUUUUUUUUUUGUCUCUUUUCCCCCUUCUCCCCUACUGGGUGGUCAGGAGAGCAGGAGGGCUCCCAUUGUCUGCAGAGCUGACCCCACGUGUCCCUGCCAUGCCAGCACCUGGCCGACACCGCAACGCCCCAAUCCAGCCCCAAUCUCCAGCCCAGCGCCCGGCAUUGGGCUGCUUAAUGAGACCCUAACGAGGUGCUCAGCCUUCAUUUCCAAAACGCUGCGACGCAGACAAAGGGAAAGUGCAGUCAGCUCCGAGUAAUUUGUGCCGCGCUCCCGGCGAAUGAAUUUAGGGGAGCAAAUAUCGUUAUGCGGGAUUUAAAUUAAAGUUGACACUAAUGUAAAUACGGCAAUGCAACCGGCUGUUUAAGAAGUGUGAUGAGGGUACAGUUUUAAUCAGGUCCUUUUAACUCAGGUGGCAUUUUAAAUCCUCGCCGGUUCAUUUGGAUAACAGUCCCAGAGGAUGUCCUGGAGUGGGAUGGUGAGGGAUGGUUGUCCCGGGAGCUCACCUGGUGAGCAGUGAAUGCAGUGUUGGACGCUGCAGAUGGAUGGACCCCCCCUGCCAAGGGCUGGGUAACAAAGGCAGAGGCGGCAGCUAAAAGGGUUGGUAAUAAAUUCUUGCGGGGUCGGUCAGCGCCUGCCAGAUUUCCCCUGGCGCUCUUGAACAAUCUGCUUCCAGCCUAAAUCAUAGAGCUGAGGCUUGGGGGAAAAAGGGAAAAAAGAAAAAAAAAAAAAAAGAGGAAAGAGCGGAGACCGCCUCACCUACUUCAAAGCCUGAACAGCGCAGAGGUGCUUCACAAUAACAAUAGCACUGGCUGCAGCCUGGAGGAGCUCCAUAACAGGAGCUCUGUAACCUGGCAAGACUCAGAGUUACGGUUACCAGAACAAUAUUUGGCAAGGGAAUUCUCCUGGUUCAUUUUUGUCAAAGGGAACAUAACGCCACUGGCAGGGAUAUGGUGCCAGCACGGCGCUGCGUUGGGUUCAGGCUGCAGUAGUGCCUGGCUUUUCUGGGCAGAGGGUUCAAUACCUAAUAGUAAUAAUAGUAAUAAUAAUCAUAUCACCAACAUCCACUCUGGGGAAGAAAGAAACCUUCUCUUGAGGUUUUCAGACAGCUGGCUGCCUCCAUGCCAUGCGUGCAGGAUGCCCGUGCUGAGCUCAUGUGAAGUUGAGGGUUAAGGUGGGGGGUAGGGUCAGGGCCCCACGUUAACCCAGAGUUUCUCUGGCUCCCGGCCCCACUCGGAGCUGCAGAGCCCUGCCGGUCCCUGCAGGGUAUUGCAUCUUCUCGGAGCUGUCCUAAUCCCCCCGUGUGACUCAGCGCUGUUAAAAUACCAAUGAGAAUAAUAAAAUGGGUUAUAAUGCUAUUAGGUAUUCCCCUUAGCUAUCCUGGCUACCCAAGGAGGAUGGAGUGGGAUGGGGAAGGGAGAGAGGAUGCAAUGGGCAUGGGCAAGGGAGGAUCCUGCAGCUGUCCAUUGGGCUGGAGCUAGGAUUUGGGGGAAGGAAGUGGCUUCUUGCCCGGGUUUUGUUCUGUGGAGGAUCCCCAGGUGGGGUGAUCCUACCCGCAGCCCCCCCCCCCCACCAGCCCCUGCCCUUUGCACAGAUGCCUAUGUCCACAAACCCCCCCUAAGCACUUAAUGAGCUCCGAGACGCCUAUUGUCUUGGCAAAGCUGAUUGAAACGGGCGAGGAGUUCAAGGGUUAGGAAGGGAGGGCUGUGUGGAGGCAGACACCCGGUGACACCAGGCUGCCCAGCCAGCAAAUGGGCUCUGCAGCAGCAUGGCACACACUGUGUCCAACACCCAUCACAUGCCAACAUACUGCUGGGUGCUGAGCCCAGACUGUGCGGCAGCUUAUCUGCCUUUAGCACAAAGCUGGGACGAAGUCUGCAUUGCCCAACGCAGAGCUGGAGUGGGCCUUGGACCCAGCCCUGUGUCAGCAGACCUCCCGGCCCUGCUCUGCUCGCUGACAGCCAGUGUUUUUUUACUCCUUGAGACUGUCAGGAAUGUUUUUCAUGCAGGAGUGUAGUGCAUUCAGCAUACUGAAACCGCCUUAAUCUCAGCAAGACCAACAAAGAUAAGGAAUAGCGUUUAAGUUGGCCGAAAUUAGCAAAUGCAUCUGCUGCACAAUGCCCCUGUUACCAUUAGCUGUGACCGGUGAAUGGCACUAGCAAAGUAUGCUGGCAAUGUUUAACAAACCAUCCGUCUUUUACCUGUUCCUACUCAACAGAAACCUUUGUUUGAACCACGGGCCUAUUCAGUCCUGCUGCUGUCUGCUUAUCAGCAAGAUUAAUCUCCGAGGUAUCACUAUAUUAAUUUUAAAACCUGCUUUUAUUACCACGAGUCCUCUGCUGGGGUGGAGAGGAGGUAUUUCUGCCCCUGCUGGGCAAGCUGGGCUCCGUGUUUGCCAAGCUCCACUGCCACCAUGACUCAUCCUUGCUACAUGCACCCAUGUCACAGUGCAAACACAUCCUGGCAGAUCUCUUGCCACAGGCCUCACGCUCUUUUUGGGAGGACAUACUUUCCAUAUCCAGCAUGCCUCGCAUCACCAAGGACAGUGACUUGGUGUAGCAUCCCUGUGCCCUUCUGCUGCAGCAUCCCUGCUGCAGUGCGUCUCUACACAUCCCUAUUACAGCAUCCCUGAGAAUCCCUGUGCAUCCCUGCACAUCCCUACUACAGUGUCCCUGUGAAUCCCUGUGCAUCUCUGUGCAUCCGUGCUGCAGCAUCCCAGUGCAACCCUGUUGCAGCAUCCCCACAAAUUCGUGCACUCCCCUGCAGCAGUGCAUCCCUUUGCAUCCCUGCACAUCCCUACUGCAGCAUCCCUGUGAAUCCCUGUGCAUCCCUGCACACCUCUACCACAGAAUCCAUGUGCAACUCUGCACAUCUCUGUGCGUCCCUGCUGCAGCACCUCUGCAAAUCCCUGCUGCAACAUCCUUUUGCAUCCCAGAUGAAGCAUCCCUCCUGCAGCAUCCCUGCACAUCUAUGUGCAGCGUCUGCAUGUGCCCUGGCAGCAUCCCUGCUGCAGCAUCCCCACGGUGUCCAAGCAAAGCAGGUUGAGAAGCUGCCCCCAUGGCACAGAGGGGUGCAGGGGGGGAACCUGGUGUGGUUUGCCAUCAGGAUGGCAGCUGGGGCCAGCACAGGCCCUGAAUUCCUGGCUGAGUGCUGUGCACACAGCGCUUAUCUUGCUCGGCUGUGUUUGUGCAGCAGGAGCCAGCCUGCACUGUGGGGUGAGGGACACGGCCGAGCACCCACAGAAGAACAUAGGGCAGUCCUGGGAAUCAAAUCUCUCCCAUCUUUAUGCACCGUGAGCAUUCUAGGGGAAGGCUUCCUUUUUGGCUGGCUUCAACUCUGCAUAGGAUGCUCGCAGCAAAUUGACUGCCGUGAUGAAGAAGGAAAAAUAUUUAAACAAGCAAUUAUGAAUGAGCUUUGCUUGCUAACUCAGAAAGCAGUUUCCUAAGUUUAUAUAGAAAUGUAAGAGAUCUACCUUCCAGGUCCAAUCACAGCCUCAGGAGUUCUCCUCUUAGAUUAGAGCUUUGUGGCCAGCAUGAGCUAAAAGAGACUAAAGGGACUAAUCCUGGCCUAUCUCUGUGUGCAAACCGGGGUCGAACCUUCUCCCGCUUCCCCUUCUGCCUCUCUGUCCAGUGUGAGUUUUACGGAGCAGGAUUUUCCUCACCUGGCACUGUGGGGGCCCGAGCCAGUGGUGGGGUGACCUUGGCCAUUUCUCCAGAUGUGGCUCUGUCGCAUGGGACUACGGUUCCGGGCUCCCUAUACGUCCUUGAGAGCGUUAUCUGGGUGAGUCACCACUAGCCGGCCUCUGAAAUCUGUGACAUUUUUGGCAGUUCCCUCUUUAAUCUAAGAGGAGUAUGGAGCCAAGUGGCUCAGUCACCAUAUCUCAGCAAAAGGAGACUGAAAAGCUUAGGGCUGAAUUCGGGUUGACUGAUAGGAACAGUUUAUUUCCUGAAAGAGCGGUGAGGCAGUGGCACAGCUGCCCAGGGAGUGGUGGGGUCACCAUCCCUGGAGGCAUCCCAAAGCUGUGGGGAUGUGGCACUGCAGGACGUGGUCAGUGGGCACGGUGGGGGUGAGCUGUGGUUGGACUCGGUUAUCUUUUCCACCUUCAUGAUUCUAUGACUCUAUGAUGGUUCUAUGAAUAGCUCAUUAAUUUCACGCUGCACACACUUCCAACCCAGAGGGAUGCUGAAGGAAGCCCAGGUUUGUGCAACCUUCUGCGAUGCCUGGCUGCACCUCCCUGCUGUGCUGGCAGCAUGGGCAGCUCCAGCCAUGUUUUCCUCCCCACACUACAUGAACACAGACAGGAGGUCCCCUCGGUGAGCUCACUGAUGCAAUUCUGUCAGCAUCCAACCCCGGCGAGGAGGAGUGAAAUGUGCUGUCAGUCUCUGCCCGAGUCAAGGGAAAGGUUCAAGCACCUUGAAGUUUGACUGUGAUUCUCGUUGAAGCCAGCACAAAUCAUCUUUGCACAGCAGCUUUAUGGAGGCCUGCUGACCUGCCUGGCCUUUACGCUGAGGGAUAGGUUUUUCUACUCAGUGCUGGCACAAACAACUGCAUUUAUUGGCCAAGCCAGACAACAGAAUAGCAGUGCCUUGCUGCUCUUAGGGAGGACGAGCAUUCUCAGUCUCCUUUGUAAUCAUGCCUUCAUACAACUGGUUCCCAAGCAGUGCAUCUAGAGUCAUAGAACCAUGGACACAUAGAAUCAUAGAAUCGUGGCAUCAUAGGAUCAUAGUAACAUAGACCCCUGGAAUCAUGGAAUCAUAGAUCCACAGAAUCAUAGACCCCUAGAAUCAUGGAUUCAUAGACCCCUAGAAUCAUAGAAUCAUAGAACCGUAGAAUCAUAGAAUCAUGGAAUCGUAGAACCAUAGGCUCACAGACCCAUAGAAUCAUGGAAUCAGAACCAUAGAACCAAAGAAUCAUAGAAUUGUUGGAGUUGGAAGAAACCUUCAAAGGUCACCUAGUCUAAUUCCCCUGCAGUGAACAGGGAAACCUGGGUGCAUCAGGGCAAACAAACUGGGAGAAGAAGCACGAUGCAGAAAACACGCUGCUGGCAGCCAGGACUGGGGGCGAGUAGUGCAGCCUGCAUUCCUCCCCGCACAUACAUUAUUCACUGGGGAUUAUUUGCUCAACCCCGAAGUGCGCGCACGCAUUGACAGCUGCUCGUGGAUACAAAGCAUUGCAUUGAGAUGCCCAAUAUGGAACACAGGGCUUGGAUCUGGAGCUGGGAGCCCUGGGUUUUGUCUACAGGAGGGGAUAAAAGCGCCUGAACUGGGAUCUCCUGAGCAUGCGCUGCACCCAUGGGUGUUGCUCGGGUGUGCGCACAGGGAUGCCUAUGUGCAUAUAUGCAGGGAUGCAUUCAGACGUGGAAGCAGGGACACGCACACACAUAUAGGCAGGGAUAUAUAUGCGUGUAGCUGUGGUUGAGGGCAAGUGGGACGAAAUCUUCAGGCGGGCCAUGAAACAGGGAGGCGUGAGCCAGGGCGCUCAUUAGUACCUGGGUAUGACUGCCGCUGACCUGAUGGCAAAUAUGAAAUAUCAAAGCGCUUGUCAGCACUCCUGAAUGGGACAAAGAAAAGGCGCAUUAAUGAUUAACUCCGUUAAAAGCUCAGGCUUUUUUAUUCCCAUGGCGCUCGGACUAUCUCGCUGCCAUGUGACAUGCUAGGGCCAUUUUCUAGCAGAUUGGGGAAAGCUAGUGAGCAAACACAGGUGCUUUAGAGUCAGCAGCGCUGUCAGGGACAACCACAAACAACACCAGCUAUGCCUGCCUAAAUUAGCUCCUGUGUUUGCCUCCAUUUUUGCUUCCUGGAGAUUUUACUUUCUAAGUCCAAUGUCUUUCGCUCCCGUCUUCAACUAUUCACACGCAGUGUUAAAGGGGAGAAAGAAAAGAGAAGAAAAGCGAAAACACACAGAGAGGCUCCUCUUUGAACCAGCCACAGUGCGUGGGGACCGCAUGCAGAAAGGCCCGAGUCAACUAAUUAAAAGGACUCAGCUCUUUAACUGCAAAAACAAAACACGUUUGUUGUGCUCAAGUGGAAUUAUUCGGGUGAUCCUCGGCAAACAACGAGCCCUGCAUGCAUGCGGUGCUGCUGCUUGCAAGCUCCAUGCCGACACCACGGGUCCCAUCGGUGCCACUCGUGGAGGCUGUGUGUGACCUCUCCUCCACCGUGGUUCAGUGUGAAGGUCCCUCUAGCGGUAUUAUUUGUUUUCAUUUUUCCCUCCUUCCAUAGCCUGAAUGAGACAGACUUUCUUUUCCUGUUCAAAUAUUUAUAUAUGUGUGUUAUUGGGUUGUGCUCAAACUCCUUGCAAUCACACCGAGGCAAUAAAGAACAGACUAUCAGCGUGCGGUGAUAAAGGUAGUUGUGAGUAAACAGCAGAAAAUGAAAUAAAGUUAUAAAGAAGAAGGCCUGGGAUGGUAUAAAUGUCUACAAAUAAUCACAAUAUCAACCUGCUCAGUAUUCAAGCAAUUAAGGACAACAGGAGCAAAGCUGUGCUGGAGCUGUUCUGAAUUUACGUAGUCCCUGGUCCUCACAAAGUGAGCUCUGCAAGCAGUGGGAGAUUCUGGAGUUUGAAAUCAGCAUCUGGAUCUUGAACCAAGGACAUCCAUUGCAGAUGCAGUGUGCUUCACUUGGGGGGGGGGAUUAAAAUCUGUGUGUUUAGCGAGAUUACGCUUGAACUGGUCCCAAUUUAUUUUGCCAAAUUGAGCUGCAGCCAAUUUCUCUCCCAUGCGAUGAUGAAUAAAUAUCAUUAAAUAGGAGAAGAUGAAGGCGAUUGAUGCCCUUGUAUUAGCGGGAACUAACAUCGUGUGCUCGAGAAUGAAAGGACAAAAAUGGAGAGAUUUGGAUGCAAAUCAUUCAAAUGAGGAGGAUUAAGCAUGAGGGUACGAGGGAGAAUGGGGUCCAGAACACCAAAUGCUCAGAAGUGCAGGGAACUGCUCAGGAUUCAUUUCCCUUUGACCCAUUACUUUUGGUUUACAGGGAGCAAAAAUUCUUCCCUGUGCAGAAUGGUUUGAUUCGAGGCUGUUCUAGCAUAGGGCUGUCACUUGGAUCGUUUAUUAAACCGUCUUAAUGAUCACUUACUAAGAAAGCACACAGGUUGAUAUUUCCUACUAUGACACAGUCAUGGAAUCACGCAGGUUGGAAAAGACCACAAGGAUCCCCAAGUCCAACCAUCAACCCGUCCACACUGCACCCACUAUCCAACUAACCGCGUCCCUCAGUGCCACGCUACGAUUCCCCCUUUUCCUGCAGUCACAAAGGAUCAUGCAUGGGGUUUUGCAGCAUGUGAAGGUUGGGGUCUGCACCCAGGGAAGUCAACCCUUGGUUCUUCAAGGCAGCAGUGUGGCUGCCCUGGCUGCCUUUUGUUUGCCAUCCCAUCCCAGCGCCAUUGGGUGUGCUUGCAGAUGGGCCCAGUUGGCUUUUUGCUGCCCUAUAAAACAGGAGGGAAAAAAAAAAAUAAAAAAAAAAAAGGAAGUGAUACUGUUGCAAUCAGCCCAGUGUGUGAUAAAGAUUUAUUACAGGGAGAAAGCAAAUAAAGGUAUGGUAGGAACUUCUUUAUUACCCGUAUCGUGAUCGCUUAUGUGAUCAGUGACCUGGAAUACAUUCAAAUUCAUGUUAAAUAAAAGCCUAAUAGAAUUUUUUUUUUCCCCUGCAUUCUGGUGACAUGUGGUCAGCAGGAAGAGCAGCCAAUCGCUGUGUUUACCCACUUCCUGCUUUUCUGGAAAGUCAACAGUUUUUAAAGGCUUAGGCUGGCGUGGAAUUAAGAAACUUGCGCCGGUUUAACUAAGGUCGUUGGCGGACAAACGGGACGCAGGGGUGGCUUUGUGGAAGGGUUUUCCGUGCCAAAUUUGGCCUGUCCUGGGUUGUCUGCUGGGAGGAGGAGGAAGAAAAGGAGGAGAAGGAGGCCGGAGCCAGGGAUAGGUGUAGAGGUUGGUCCUGGUCGUGGCACCUUGGGGAGGCACCAAGUGGCUGGGGUCUUAUCAGCCCAACCUUGGAGAGCUUUCUUCUUCCAGUGGCUCAUCCAUCACUAGUUAACAGGGUACCCCUGUAAGGCUGCCUCUCUUUGUGCUGUAUCUUUAACCUCCCGCCAGUCAAUACCCUUUGUACACAUGUAUCUCGUUUCCUGAUAAUGCAUUGUAUUCCUUCGACCACCAAAAGCACUGGUGGGGUGGGAGAAACAGUUGUCUUAGAUAAAGAGCAAUUAGCACCUCCAGGGUCAGCCUGGUAUAUAUUGUUAAAGAAAAUGGGCCUGGAGGGAGGCUGGUGGAAUUCCUCCUGGCUGGAGAGAAUCAAAAAGGCUCCAGGUAAUUCCAAAGGAGCCUUUCUGGUGGGUGGUUGAUGUGGCCGUGCACCUCUAGCACCACACAAACCAGUUUCCUCAGGUCUCUGGGAAGAGCCAUGCAUCUUCAUUUAUAUGUUAAUUUGCAUUAAAUAAAUGUCACCAUAAACAAAUUGUAUCUCAGGAGAAGGUGGAAAACAUAUGGGUGUUUGCCAGCCAGGGGUUAUUAAUUUUAUACUUUCCAUCUGGAGUCUAUAAAGGGUCCAUUCGGAGAGCCAAUAAAGACCCAAGGUCGCGGCUGCAGCGCCACGGAAACCUUGCAGCUGGAGCACCUGCAGGCAUCUGCUGUUGUGGUGAAGGUGGCAGGGAGGGCCACAGCAAGAUGGGGACACUCCAUCGGUCCUGGAUAUCACAGCAUGUAAAUGUCUAUGCAAAUCUGUUACUAGGAGGGCUUGUGCUCCUAAGUCAUUUGGGCAAGAUGGAGAAGUCAGCCCUGAACUCAAAGCAGAGCUCUGAUGUUUUGAUUGAUUUAUUUAUUCAUAUAUAUUUCUUUUUGCAGAAAGCUUCUUUACUUGUUGCUAGAUUAAGGGAAAGCUAAUUUAGUGCUAAUUUAGUGCUGCUGUGAAGAACAUCUUGGGGGAAAAGUUGCUGCGAAUUCAACACAAGUUGCCCCUGCUGUUCCUGUCUGGCCUUCCCAGAGCCUGUAAAGUGGGAAAAGGAUUUAAAUACCGGUUUUCCUUUUGUAAUUGGAAUAAAGUGGGUCUGCAAGUGAAUGGGACAACAGGGUGCAAAGUCCCUGCUCCCCAGCACUCAGGUUCUGGAUGGA
ensembl:lncRNA